rnacentral:rRNA from 1 species
UACGAAGGGGGCUAGCGUUGUUCGGAUUCAUUGGGCGUAAAGGGUGCGUAGGUGGCGCCGUAAGUCGGGUGUGAAAUUUCGGAGCUUAACUCCGAAACUGCAUUCGAUACUGCGGUGCUUGAGGACUGGAGAGGAGACUGGAAUUCAUGGUGUAGCAGUGAAAUGCGUAGAGAUCAUGAGGAAGACCAGUGGCGAAGGCGGGUCUCUGGACAGUUCCUGACACUGAGGCACGAAGGCCAGGGGAGCAAACAGG